GACAGAGGGUGCAAACGUUGUUCGGAUUUACUGGGCGUAAAGCGCGUGUAGGCGGCUUUGCAAGUCGGAUGUGAAAGCCCACGGCUCAACCGUGGAAGUGCAUCCGAAACUGCAUGGCUUGAGUCUCGGAGAGGAAGGUGGAAUGCUUGGUGUAGAGGUGAAAUUCGUAGAUAUCAAGCAGAACACCUGCGGCGAAGGCGGCCUUCUGGACGAUGACUGACGCUGAGACGCGAAAGUGUGGGGAGCAAACAGG
rnacentral:rRNA from 1 species